UGACAGAAGUGGGAUUCGAACAAACGCCAGCAAGAUUGAACUGCGACUUGAACGCAGCGCCUUAGAGCGCUCGGCCAUCCUGAC